AACCCCAAACCUGUACUUGCAUCUCUGGGGUACAAGCCCAAGUUCUUUGUGUCCUUCUGUGCAAAGGACUAACUUAGAAACUUACCAUGAAAUUGAAGCUGAACUGGAUUUUUCUUUUGACUAUUUUCCAAGGUGUCCAGUGUGAUGUGCAGCUAGUGGAGUCUGGGGGAGAUGUGAUUCAGCCUGGGGGUUCUCUUAGACUCUCCUGCAAAGCUUCUGGGUUUACCUUCAGUGACUAUGCAAUGGGCUGGGUCCGCCAGGCUCCAGGGAAAGGACUAGAAUGGAUUGCAAGCAUUAGCUAUAGUGGAAGUAAUACAUACUAUGCAGACUCUGUGAAAGGUCGAUCCACCAUCUCCAGAGAUAAUGGCAACAAUAUGUUAAAUCUGCAGAUGAAUUCCCUUAAUACUCAGGAUACAGCUGUGUAUUACUGUACAAGAGACACAGUGAGGAAAAGAAAUGUGAGACUAGACAGAAACUUCCCCUACCAGGAGAUGAGAUGCCAGUGAGGAUAGAA